rnacentral:lncRNA from 1 species
UCUCUUAGAGUAAAAUUCUCUAGAAAAUAUCAAUAAAUAAAAUGAAUUAUACAAAAUAUAUUAAAAGUAAACUUCAAAUUGCCCCCAAGUGAUUUAGUUUAUUUUUAUUUUGCCAUCUUAUUGUUAAACAUUUCAAGUUUGCUCUUCUGUUGUUUAAUCUUUAGUUUAUCAAAAAAAUAUAUAUGAAAUAGGGUGGGGAAGUAAAAUUUUUUAAAAGGGUUAAUUUUAUACAAGUCUCCGCAAAUGUAGUGAAUAGCAAAUAUAUCCCUAUAAAUUUCAACUUUCAUAUAUUAUCCCUACAAAAGUCAUAAUAUUUUCAAAUACAUCCCUAUGGUUUGUUACUGUUAGAGAACUGUUUAUUUUUUUUAAUUUGGUCAUUACAAAUAUAUCCAUCCAAAAGCUAUAACAAUGUAAUAUAAGAGGGAUAAAAAUGUAAACAACUAACCAUAAUUAAAUAUUUAAUCUAUGAUUAACUAUAUUUUUCUAAUAAAUUCUAACGGUAGAGAUAUAUUUGAAAACUUCAUGACUUUUACAAGAACAAUAUAUGAAAGUUGAACUUUGUAAAAAUGUAUUUAUCAUUCACUAUGCUUGUAGGGACAUAUAUGAAGUGAACCCUUUUUAAAAGUAGACAUGAUGGUAAAGUGAAAAUUACUCUAAAUCAGAGGGAGGCAAAAUGUAACUUUCAGAAACAUAGGGUAGUAAAGUAAAAAUGAGCUAAACCACGGGGGGUGCAAAGAGAAACAUUUUGAACCACGGCCGUAGCAAAGAAAAAAUGAGCUAAACCACAGGGGGGGCCAAUUUGAAGUUUGUCCUAAAAAAAAAGGGUGCAAAUAUCUCUAGCAUUUUUUGUAAACAAACUUCGAAACUUUUAAUUUUAAUGAUUAGAUUUUUUUUUUUUUGAGAAAAAAUUCAAAAUUUUUUUUAAUGAUUAGAUAUUCUAAUUUUAUCGAAUAAUUUACUAGGCCCUCUCUUUGAACAGAAUUAUGAAGGCCCUCUCUUUGAACAAAAUUAUGACUUGGAACAGCUGUUUUAGUCUCAUGAUUUGUAAAUGAUUUUGUAUAACUUCAGAGAACAAAAAAAAUAUGUUUUUCUAUCUAGUUUCAUAGUUAAAUGCUAGGAUUGAAGAACAGUAGGUUGGCGUAUCUUCAAUUGCUUCUUUGUGUUAGAAUAAAAAUAUAUUUCNAUUACCGCCCUUAGCUUUUAAUCCCUCUCUCUCUCUCUCUCUCUCUCUCUCUCUUUGUUAGAGUAAAAUUCUCUAGAAAAUAUCAAUAAAUAAAAUGAAUUAUACAAAAUAUAUUAAAAGUAAACUUCAAAUUGCCCCCAAGUGAUUUAGUUUAUUUUUAUUUUGCCAUCCUAUUGUUAAACAUUUCAAGUUUGCUAUUCUGUUGUUUAAUCUUUAGUUUAUCAAAAAAAUCUAUAUGAAAUAGGGUGGGGAAGCAAAAAUUUUUAAAAGGGUUACUUUUUUAUACAAGUCUCCGCAAAUAUAGUGAAUAACAAAUAUAUUCCUACAAAUUUCAACUUUCAUAUAUUGUCCCUACAAAAGUCAUAAUGUUUUCAAAUAUAUCCCUAUGGUUUGUUACUGUUAGAGAACUGUUUAUUUUUUUAAUUUGGUCAUCACAAAUAUAUCCCUCCAAAAGCUAUAACAAUGUAAUAUAAGAGGGAUACAAAUGUAAACAACUAACCAGAAUUAAAUAUUUAAUCUAUGAUUAACUAUAUUUUUCUAAUGAAUUCUAACGGCAGAGAUAUAUUUGAAAAUUUCAGGACUUUUACAGAAACAAUAUAUGAAAGUUGAACUUUGUAAGAAUGUAUUUAUCAUUCACUAUGCUUGUAGGGACAUAUGAAAUGAACCCUUUUUAAAAGUAGACAUGAUGGUAAAGUGAAAAUUGCUCUAAAUCAGAGGGAGGCAAAAUGUAACUUUCAGAAACAUAGGGUAGUAAAGUAAAAAUGAGCUAAACCACAGGGGGUGCAAAGAGAAACAUUUUGAACCACGGCUGUAGCAAAGAAAAAAUGAGCUAAACCGCGGGGGGGCCAAUUUGAAGUUUGUCCUAAAAAAAAAAGGUGCAAAUAUCUCUUAACGUUAGCAUUUUUUGUAAACAGACUUCGAAACUUUUAAUUUUAAUGAUUAGAUUUUUUUUUUUUUGAGAAAAAAUUCUAAUUUUUUUUUAAUGAUUAGAUAUUCUAAUUUUAUCGAAUAAUUUACUAGGCCCUCUCUUUGAACAAAAUUAUGACUUGGAACAGCUGUUUUAGUCUCAUGAUUUGUAAAUGAUUUUGUAUAACUUCAGAGAACAAAAAAAAUAUGUUUUUCUAUCUAGUAUCAUAGUUAAAUGCUAGGAUUGAAGAACAGUAGGUUGGCAUAUCUUCAAUUGCUUCUUUGUGUUAGAAUAAAAAUAUAUUUCUUUAUAUCCUAAAACUUAACACGAUUACAUACAAUAUAAGUGAUCAAAAUGGCUGUGUAAUUAUCAAAAUUUUGAAAGUUUAUUUGUUAAAAUUAAAAGACAAGAUCAAAACGGCUGUGUUUAUUUCUUUUUACAAAGGGUUAAUUACACCGGUUGUCUCCAACCUUUCCACCAAUUUUUCCUUGAGUCUCCAACCUUUUUUUUUGCAAUUGACUCCCUAAUCUCUCGAUUUUAUUACAAUUAGGUCCCAACCGUUAAAAAAAUUGUUAAAAUUAACGAAAUCGCCACAUCAGCGUCUAUGUGGCAACCUUUUGCAUGUCAAUUAGGUCCCUAAACUUUGCACAUUUUUCAUUUUAGUCCUAAAAAAAAUUCAAAAUUUUAAAUUUAAAUUCAAAAAUAAUAUUAAAAUUAAAAUGUAAAACUAACGAGAAAUUAGUAUUUUGAAUUUGAAUUUAAAACUGAAUUAAAAUUUUGAAUUGAAAUUCAAAUUUUAAAUUUAAAUUUUAAAUUGAAUCUAAAUUUUGAAUUCAAACUUAAAUUUUGAUUUUGAUUUUGAUAUUUCAAUUUACAUUUAAAAUGAAAGUUUUGAAACCGAAAUUUAAAUUUAAAAUAUGAAUUUAAAUUUAAAAUCAUAUUCAAAAUUUUGAUUUUAAAUUUUAAAUUUGAAUUUAAAAUUAAAAUUUGAAUUUAAUAUUUGAUUUCAAUUCUAAAUUUGAAUUUAAACUUCGAAUCAAAUUCACAUUUUGAAUUUGAAAUUUCAAAUUGAAGUUUGAAAUUAAAUUAGAAUUUAGAAUUCCAAAUGUGAAUUUGAAUUUAAAAUUUAAAAUUUAAAAUUAAAUACAAAAUUGGAAUUUGAAUUCCAAUUUAAAUUUGAAUUCAAAAUCAAAAUUUAAAUUUUAAAAUUUAAAUCUUAAAUUAAAUUUUUUUUUGAAUUUAUAAAUUUAAAGGGUUAAUUACACCAUUGGUCCUCUACCUUUGCACCAUUUUUCAAUUUGGUCCACAACCUUUUUUUUUUUUGCAAUCCGCUGACACAGCGCCACCGUGGCGCUGACAUGGCGCCUCCGUGGCGCUGACGUGGCAUUUUCCGUUAAUUUUAACAGCUAUCUAACAGCUGGGACUUAAUUGAAAUGACAUCAAAAGAUUAGGGACUUCAUUGCAAAAUAAAAAAGAUUGGAGACUAAGUUGAAAAAUAGUGUAAAGGUUAGGGACCAUUGGUGUAAUUAACCUUUUUACAAAUAAACUUAGCUAGAAAUGUGAAUCAAUUAGGAUUUGAACUUGCAAUGUGAGACCUCAGGUAGUCCUAUAUAUAAGAUGUAAUAGGGCUAAAUUCUGAACGUGGCUUAAGUAUUUUGGGUGGUGGCAAGACCUAAGAGGUUAAGAGAGUUAAGCGUCCUAGGAUAGGAGUAGUCCUAGGAUGGGUGACCCCGUGGGAAGUUGGGGCGUCACAGUUGGUAUCAAAGCCAAUUACCGGCCGGAAGUGUGUGAGAUGAGUCUCGGCUGAGCCAGAAUUGUAGAGCGGGAAGAGCGAGGCUCUCAUGCUGUUGACUAUUAUCGGUAGAGCGUUGCUCCCCCACAAGGUCGGUUUAGGCUAGCGAGACAAGUCUCAUAUUGCCUGAUACUUGUAAGUCUAAGCCUGACGGGGACGUCAAGGCUUAAAGGGGGGAAGAUUGUGAGACUCCACGUAAUCCUAUAUAUAAGAUAUAAUAAGGCUAAACUCUUAACCCGACUUAAGUAUUUUGGGUGGUGGCAAAGCAUAAGAGGUUAAGAGAGUUAAGCGUCUUAAGACGAGAGUAGUCCUAGGAUGAGUGACCCCCGGGAAGUUGGGGCGUCACAUGCGACCUCGGGUUCCAACCACGAAGUCCUUUAUCACUUAUGUUAGGAACGGUUUGGUCUGCCAAGAAAAUUAAUUAUGUAGUUUGUUGGGAAGAUGUAAAAAUAUUUAAAAACAUCAAGUUGAAGAAUAUUACUUUCGGUUCUUACCCGAUUCUAUUUAUUGAGAUGCCUAAGACACAUGCGGACAUACUUAGGGCUUGUUUCUUUCACAAAAUUAGACUACGAAAUCAAAAUAAGAUUAUUAAUUUUGAUACUUGUUGUUUAUUCUACAAGAAUCUGAUUUCGAUUUUCAUGCUACUAUGGAAUGAAAAUGGUCCAUUUCAUUUAUGGCUCAAUCCGAUUUUGAAUUCCGGAUUAACUCAUUACAAUGUAAACCACUCAAAACUCUCCCAUAAAUACCAUUGUUUCCUUUUUUUUCAUCACACUGUUUUUAAACCAAAACUUUCUAGCAAAAUUAUAGAGGUUCAUUCUAAUUUUCAUUUCAAUAAUAAACCAAAUAUUUUUGAAUGAUUCAUCAUUUUGUUUUUUAUUUCAAUACAAUUCAGUUCUAUUUUUCACUCAUAUUCUAUACCCUUUAGUGGUGUUCUACCUGACUUAUUGAGAUAUGUUGGCAGCAUGUAGAUACAUUUGCACAACUUCACGAAAUUAUUUAAUUUAUUAUGUCACUUGAUACUCUAAAACAUUACUAAAAAUGAUUUUAUGAGCAAUGUUACUUAUACAUCCCUUUUUGAGUGUAAAUCUUAUAUUCUUCAAUCUAAGAAAUGUAAAUGCGUUCGUAUCUUGUCAAAUUUUUUAAAAUAAAAUAAUACAAUUUCAAAAGGUAUGCGAACCCUAGGAUGGGAGUCUGAGAUGAGCAAAUCUUUUUUGGGAGGUUAUACAUACAACAUUUUCCUACCAGAAGAGCAAUAACAAUGCAAUUAAAAAGAGCAAUACUAGCCACACGCACCAUACUUUGNAAAGUAGACAUGAUGGUAAAGUGAAAAUUGCUCUAAAUCAGAGGGAGGCAAAAUGUAACUUUCAGAAACAUAGGGUAGUAAAGUAAAAAUGAGCUAAACCACGGGGGUGCAAAGAGAAACAUUUUGAACCACGGCCGUAGCAAAGAAAAAAUGAGCUAAACCACAGGGGGGGCCAAUUUGAAGUUUGUCCUAAAAAAAAAGGUGCAAAUAUCUCUUAACGUUAGCAUUUUUUGUAAACAGACUUCGAAACUUUUAAUUUUAAUGAUUAGAUUUUUCUUUUUUUGAGAAAAAAUUCUAAUUUUUUUUAAUGAUUAGAUAUUCUAAUUUUAUCGAAUAAUUUACUAGGCCCUCUCUUUGAACAAAAUUAUGACUUGGAACAGCUGUUUUAGUCUCAUGUUUUGUAAAUGAUUUUGUAUAACUUCAGAGAACAAAAAAAAUAUGUUUUUCUAUCUAGUUUCAUAGUUAAAUGCUAGGAUUGAAGAACAGUAGGUUGGCGUAUCUUCAAUUGCUUCUUUGUGUUAGAAUAAAAAUAUAUUUCUUUAUAUCCUAAAACUUAACACGAUUACAUACAAUAUAAGUGAUCAAAAUGGCUGUGUAAUUAUCAAAAUUUUGAAAGUUUAUUUGUUAAAAGACAAGAUCAAAACGGCUGUGUUUAUUUCUUUUUUCAAAGGGUUAAUUACACCGGUAGUCUCCAACCUUUCCACCAAUUUUCCCUUGAGUUCCCAACUUUUUUUUUUUUGCAAUUGACUCUCUAAUUUCUUGAUUUUAUUACAAUUAGGUUCCAACCGUUAAAAAAACUGUUAAAAUUAACGAAAUCGCCACGUCAGCGUCUAUGUGGCAACAUUUUGCAUGUUAAUUAGGUUCAUAAACUUUGCACAUUUUUCAUUUUAGUCCUAAAAAAAAAUUCAAAAUUUUAAAUUUAAAUUCAAAAAUAAUAUUAAAAUUAAAAUGUUAAACUAACGAGAAAUUAGAAUUUUGAAUUUGAAUUUAAAGCUGAAUUAAAAUUUUGAAUUGAAAUUCAAAUUUUAAAUUUAAAUUUUUAAUUGAAUCUAAAUUUUGAAUUCAAACUUAAA